UACGGGAGGCAGCAGUGGGGAAUAUUGCACAAUGGGCGCAAGCCUGAUGCAGCCAUGCCGCGUGUAUGAAGAAGGCCUUCGGGUUGUAAAGUACUUUCAGCGGGGAGGAAGGCGAUGUGGUUAAUAACCGCAUCGAUUGACGUUACCCGCAGAAGAAGCACCGGCUAACUCCGUGCCAGCAGCCGCGGUAAUACGGAGGGUGCAAGCGUUAAUCGGAAUUACUGGGCGUAAAGCGCACGCAGGCGGUCUGUCAAGUCGGAUGUGAAAUCCCCGGGCUUAACCUGGGAACUGCAUUCGAAACUGGCAGGCUAGAGUCUUGUAGAGGGGGUAGAAUUCCAGGUGUAGCGGUGAAAUGCGUAGAGAUCUGGAGGAAUACCGGUGCGAAGGCGGGCCCCUGGGACAAAGACUGACGCUCAGGUGCGAAAGCGUGGGGAGCGAAACAGGAUUAGAUAACC
rnacentral:rRNA from 1 species